UCCGGUUUGUCACCGGCAGUCUCCUAUGAGUCCCCAACUGAAUGCUGGCAACAUAGGAUAAGGGUUGCGCUCGUUGCGGGACUUAACCCAACAUCUCACGACACGAGCUGACGACAACCAUGCACCACCUGUGUACGAGUGUCCAAAGAGAACCCCAUCUCUGGGGCUUUCUCGUACAUGUCAAGCCUUGGUAAGGUUCUUCGCGUUGUAUCGAAUUAAUCCGCAUGCUCCGCCGCUUGUGCGGGCCCCCGUCAAUUCCUUUGAGUUUUAGCCUUGCGGCCGUACUCCCCAGGCGGGGCGCUUAAUGCGUUAGCGUCGGCACGGAGCCCGUCGAUAGAGCCCCACACCUAGUGCCCAACGUUUACGGCGUGGACUAC
rnacentral:misc_RNA from 1 species